rnacentral:rRNA from 1 species
GGGGGGGGGGGGGGGGGGGGGGGGGGGGGGGGGGGGGAGGGGGGGGGGGAGGGGGGGGGUGCGCGGGGGUGAGCGGGGGACGGGGGGGGAAAGCGGGGAGAACCGGCAGAUAAGACGGGGGUAGCUGCGGGAAACCGGGAGGAACGCCGGACAAGCGAUUGAAAAGCGGGGGAAAAAAGUGAGAGACGGGGUUGCAAACACGUAUGGAUAGAUCCGCGCUGCAUUAGCUAGUUGGUAAGGUAACGGCUUACCAAGGCAACGAUGCAUAGCCGACCUGAGAGGGUGAUCGGCCACACUGGAACUGAGACACGGUCCAGACUCCUACGGGAGGCAGCAGUAGGGAAUCUUCCGCAAUGGGCGAAAGCCUGACGGAGCAACGCCGCGUGAGUGAUGAAGGUCUUCGGAUCGUAAAACUCUGUUAUUAGGGAAGAACAUAUGUGUAAGUAACUGUGCACAUCUUGACGGUACCUAAUCAGAAAGCCACGGCUAACUACGUG